GAACGCACCGCAAGGUGAGUGGCAGACGGGUGAGUAACGCGUGGGAACCUUCCCUGUGGUACGGAAUAACUUCGGGAAACCGAAGCUAAUACCGUAUAUCUCCUCCGGGAGAAAGAUUUAUCGCCAUAGGAUGGGCCCGCGUUGGAUUAGCUAGUUGGUAGGGUAAUGGCCUACCAAGGCAACGAUCCAUAGCUGGUCUGAGAGGAUGAUCAGCCACACUGGGACUGAGACACGGCCCAGACUCCUACGGGAGGCAGCAGUGGGGAAUAUUGGACAAUGGGCGCAAGCCUGAUCCAGCCAUGCCGCGUGAGUGAAGAAGGCCUUAGGGUUGUAAAGCCCUUUCGGCGGGGAAGAUAAUGACGGUACCCGCAGAAGAAGCCCCGGCUAACUUCGUG
rnacentral:rRNA from 1 species